rnacentral:lncRNA from 1 species
GUUUUACUCACCGCUGAAAUACCUCAAAACAAACUCAGAAAACUGGAGGAGGCUCGAAUUAUUCCAGAUUACGCCGAAUAUUUCCAGCACUGCGUGGAAGCUGAGAUAAAGUUUGAGGAAAAAGGCAAAGACCAAUCGACUUUUCGAAUAUUAGCAGAUUUUGGAAAUGGAAUCGAUUUACGAACCGUGUCCAACAACAAGCCAGAAAUUCGAUGGCAAGCCAAUAUUGGCGAGUACUAUACAGUUGCAUUAAUAGAUCCAGAUGUGGUGCGUCAUCCACCACAACCAGUGGAAAGAAUGCAUUGGCUGAUUGUCAAUGUCCCGGGUUGUUGGUUACCUGGCGGUCAGGAAAUCAUACCGUAUCAAAAACCAGCGAAUCCGACAAAAGAAGGUGAAGUCCACAAAAUUGUUGCCCUCAUUUAUCAACAACCCGAUGGGAUAAUGAAUGUCACAGAAUCUUCCUUGACAAGUGAUGAAUUGCUACUGAGAUCCCGUAGAGGCGCAAUUGGUCCGGUUUCUCCAGUGAAACUGAAGCAGGCAGGUUUCAUAGGUUGA